rnacentral:lncRNA from 1 species
GGGGGGGGGGGAAACAAUACUAAAUAUUAACCAACCAAAAAACACUUCCUCUGCUCUUUCCAGUAUUUUACUUCUUUAAAGAGGAAGAAGUGUAAAAUGGAACAGAAAGUGUAAAACGGAACAGAAAAUUCUCUCAAAGAUUCCUGUCUUGAUUACAGACUGUUUCCCUGGGGAUGAGAAUGAGUGUACUUUGCAUCUAAAUCCAGUUUCCCAAUUGGAAAACGGUGGAAAUUGAAGGUGGAAAUUGAAGAGCAGAAAGAACUUAAAGCUAGUACUAAAUUCUGGGUACCAGGACUGAAAAGAGUGAGAGAUGCUUCACCAGCUGGACAGUACAGAAUAUAUCCAUUAUGCUACUCAUGUGCUUUUCAGUGCAACUUAGGCACAACCAGAUUUUUAGACACUAGUAACCUAAUGGUAUAGCCAACACUCAACUGAACAGUAUCCAGUAAAUAAGCAGACCUAUUUCAGAAAUGGUGGAAAAUAUAUGCAAAGCUUAAUACAGGCUGGAUCUAGAGUUUGGAUUUGUUGCCUAAGGG